rnacentral:rRNA from 1 species
GACGAACGCUGGCGGCGUGCUUAACACAUGCAAGUCGAACGGAAAGGCCCUGCUUUUGUGGGGUGCUCGAGUGGCGAACGGGUGAGUAACACGUGAGUAACCUGCCCUUGACUUUGGGAUAACUUCAGGAAACUGGGGCUAAUACCGGAUAGGAGCUCCUGCUGCAUGGUGGGGGUUGGAAAGUUUCGGCGGUUGGGGAUGGACUCGCGGCUUAUCAGCUUGUUGGUGGGGUAGAGGCUUACCAAGGCUUUGACGGGUAGCCGGCCUGAGAGGGUGACCGGCCACAUUGGGACUGAGAUACGGCCCAGACUCCUACGGGAGGCAGCAGUGGAGAAUAUUGCACAAUGGGCGGAAGCCUGAUGCAGCAACGCCGCGUGCGGGAUGACGGCCUUCGGGUUGUAAACCGCUUUCGCCUGUGACGAAGCGUGAGUGACGGUAAUGGGUAAAGAAGCACCGGCUAACUACGUG